CCUACGGGUGGCAGCAGUCGAGAAUUUUUCACAAUGGGGGAAACCCUGAUGGAGCGACGCCGCGUGGGGGAUGAAUGGCUUCGGCCCGUAAACCCCUGUCAUUUGCGAACUAGUAGUGGAAGAGGAAGGGACGGCUAACUCUGUGCCAGCAGCCGCGGUAAUACAGAGGUCCCAAGCGUUGUUCGGAUUCACUGGGCGUAAAGGGUGCGUAGGUGGCUAGGUAAGUUUGAUGUGAAAUCUCGAAGCUCAACUUCGAAACUGCAUUGAAUACUAUCUGGCUUGAGGAUUGGAGGGGAGACUGGAAUUCUUGGUGUAGCAGUGAAAUGCGUAGAUAUCAAGAGGAACACCAGUGGCGAAGGCGAGUCUCUGGACAAUCCUGACACUGAGGCACGAAAGCUAGGGGAGCAAACAGGAUUAGAUACCCUUGUAGUC
rnacentral:rRNA from 1 species